rnacentral:rRNA from 1 species
AUGGCCGAGGUCUGCGUCAAGGCCGCCGUCGGCCACCCCGACACGCUCGGCGACUGUCCCUUCUCCCAGAGGGUGCUGCUCACGCUGGAGGAGAAGAAGGUGCCCUACCAGAUGAAGCUCAUCGACAGCAGUGCGGGACUGGGGAUUUUAUUGUGGUCGCCAUGGGUGAGACCUGUGCGCCGCUUAGAUGCCUGCUGUGAAUGUGACAGAUUUGGUCUAUCUAGCGCAGAGUUCCUGAAGAUCAAUCCGGAGGGCAAGGUGCCUGUGUAUAACGGUGGUGAUGGCAAAUGGAUUGCUGAUUCUGAUGUGAUCACUCAAGUCAUUGAGGAGAAGUACCCAACUCCAUCACUUGUGACCCCUCCUGAGUAUGCAUCAGUGGGAUCAAAGAUCUUCUCCACCUUCGUCACGUUCUUGAAGAGCAAGGAUGCCAGCGAUGGUUCGGAGAAGGCACUUGUUGACGAGCUGCAGGCACUCGAAGAGCACCUGAAGGCCCAUGGACCCUACAUCAACGGGGCGAACAUCUCCGCCGUCGAUCUCAGCCUGGCUCCGAAGCUCUACCACCUCCAGGUCGCCCUGGAGCACUUCAAGGGCUGGAAGGUCCCUGAAACCCUGACCAGCGUCCAUGCCUACACCGAGGCUCUCUUCAGCCGCGAGUCGUUCGUCAAGACCAAGGCGACCAAGGAGAACCUGAUCGCCGGGUGGGCGCCGAAAGUGAACCCGUAA